GACGAACGCUGGCGGCGUGCUUAACACAUGCAAGUCGAGCGGUAAGGCCCUUUCGGGGUACACGAGCGGCGAACGGGUGAGUAACACGUGGGUGACCUGCCCUCAGCUCUGGGAUAAGCCGUGGGAAACCGGGUCUAAUACUGGAUAUGACUCCAUGACGCAUGUUGGUGGGGUGGAAAGCCUUGUGCGGCUGAGGAUGGGCCCGCGGCCUAUCAGCUUGUUGGUGGGGUGAGGCCUACCAAGGCGACGACGGGUAGCCGGCCUGAGAGGGCGACCGGCCACACUGGGACUGAGACACGGCCCAGACUCCUACGGGAGGCAGCA
rnacentral:rRNA from 1 species